rnacentral:rRNA from 1 species
GCUCUAUCUUCAUGCUUUUUCUCUCAAGGACAAGCUGUGAUGGGGAGCGAAAUUUAGUAGCGAAGUUCCUGAUGUCACACUGCCAAGAAAAGCUUCUAGUGAGAAAGUAACUGCCCGUACCGCAAACCGACACAGGUAGUUGAGGAGAGAAUCCUAAGGUGUGCGAGAGAACUCUCGUUAAGGAACUCGGCAAAAUGACCCCGUAACUUCGGGAGAAGGGGUGCUGACCGCAAGGUCAGCCGCAGUGAAUAGGCCCAAGCGACUGUUUAUCAAAAACACAGGUCUCUGCAAAAUCGAGAGAUGACGUAUAGGGGCUGACGCCUGCCCGGUGCUGGAAGGUUAAGAGGAGAGGUUAGCGCAAGCGAAGCUUUGAAUUGAAGCCCCAGUAAACGGCGGCCGUAACAAUAACGGUCCUAAGGUAGCGAAAUUCCUUGUCGGGUAAGUUCCGACCCGCACGAAAGGCGUAACGAUUUGGGCACUGUCUCAACGAGAGACUCGGUGAAAUUAUAGUACCAGUGAAGAUGCUGGUUACCCGCGACAGGACGGAAAGACCCCAUGGAGCUUUACUGCAGUUUGAUAUUGCGUGUUUGUAUCACAUGUACAGGAUAGGUAGGAGCCGAAGAUACCGGGACGCCAGUCUCGGAGGAGGCAACGGUGGGAUACUACCCUUGUGAUAUGACCACUCUAACCCGCUGCUCUUAGCGAGCAGGGAGACAGUGUCAGACGGGCAGUUUGACUGGGGCGGUCGCCUCCAAAAAUGUAACGGAGGCGCCCAAAGGUUCCCUCAGAAUGGUUGGAAAUCAUUCGUAGAGUGUAAAGGCAGAAGGGAGCUUGACUGCGAGACCUACAAGUCGAGCAGGGACGAAAGUCGGGCUUAGUGAUCCGGUGGUUCCGCAUGGAAGGGCCAUCGCUCAACGGAUAAAAGCUACCCUGGGGAUAACAGGCUUAUCUCCCCCAAGAGUUCACAUCGACGGGGAGGUUUGGCACCUCGAUGUCGGCUCAUCGCAUCCUGGGGCUGUAGUCGGUCCCAAGGGUUGGGCUGUUCGCCCAUUAAAGCGGUACGCGAGCUGGGUUCAGAACGUCGUGAGACAGUUCGGUCCCUAUCCGUCGCGGGCGUUGGAAAUUUGAGAGGAGCUGUCCUUAGUACGAGAGGACCGGGAUGGACACACCGCUGGUGUACCUGUUGUUCUGCCAAGAGCAUCGCUGGGUAGCUAUGUGUGGACGGGAUAAACGCUGAAAGCAUCUAAGCGUGAAGCCCCCCUCAAGAUGAGAUUUCCCAUCACUUUAAGUGAGUAAGACCCCUGAGAGAUGAUCAGGUAGAUAGGUUGGGAGUGGAAGUACAGCGAUGUAUGGAGCGGACCAAUACUAAUCGGUCGAGGACUUAACC